rnacentral:sRNA from 1 species
UAAGAAGAGCAUUAACAAUGUGAAGUCA